ACACCGGCCCGUCACACCAUGGAAGCUGGCCACGCCCGAAGUCGUUACCCCAACCGUUCGCGGAGGGGGACGCCGAAGGCAGGGCUGGUGACUGGGGUGAAGUCGUAACAAGGUAGCCGUACCGGAAGGUGUGGCUGGAUCACCUCUUUUCAAGGAGACCUACCCUACUUAGACGUGCGAAAACUGAUAGAGCACCUAAGUAAGGUCAUCCUAGGUCGGUCGAGAUGAUUAUUAUUGGUUUCUGAACUAUCGAGGGGCCGGAUAUGGGCUAUUAGCUCAGGUGGUUAGAGCGCACCCCUGAUAAGGGUGAGGUCCCUGGUUCGAGUCCAGGAUGGCCCACUCGUGGGGGUAUAGCUCAGCUGGUAGAGCGCCUGCUUUGCAAGCAGGAUGUCAGCGGUUCGAGUCCGCUUACCUCCACCAGAUUUAAUAAUUCAGCACUAUUUCUAAACUACUGAGCAGACAAGCUAUCAGUAGCUAGAAAGGCUGCUGGAUUAGACCAGCAAAGAACCUUGAAAACUGCAUAGAGAUAAAGAGAUGUCAGGUAGAUGUUGACGAAGCUAUGAAUCAGCAAUGAUUGAUGGUUCAGUCACGAACAGACACCAAUGUAAGUAAAUGGUCAAGCUAUCAAGGGCUUACGGCGGAUACCUAGGCACAGAGA
rnacentral:misc_RNA from 1 species